rnacentral:rRNA from 1 species
GGAAUUCGAUUCAGGCCUAACACAUGCAAGUCGAGCGGAUGAAGAGAGCUUGCUCUCUGAUUUAGCGGCGGACGGGUGAGUAAUGCCUAGGAAUCUGCCUGGUAGUGGGGGAUAACGUUCCGAAAGGAACGCUAAUACCGCAUACGUCCUACGGGAGAAAGCAGGGGACCUUCGGGCCUUGCGCUAUCAGAUGAGCCUAGGUCGGAUUAGCUAGUUGGUGAGGUAAUGGCUCACCAAGGCGACGAUCCGUAACUGGUCUGAGAGGAUGAUCAGUCACACUGGAACUGAGACACGGUCCAGACUCCUACGGGAGGCAGCAGUGGGGAAUAUUGGACAAUGGGCGAAAGCCUGAUCCAGCCAUGCCGCGUGUGUGAAGAAGGUCUUCGGAUUGUAAAGCAAUGUAAGUUGGGAGGAAGGGUUGUAGAUUAAUACUCUGCAAUUUGACGUACCAACAGAAU